AAAAAUAACACUCAAAAACUAAAAUGACCAAAAUAACAUUUUAUCUUUUGAAAAUUUUAAUUUUUUUAUUUUUUAAAAUUUGAAAUCUUAUCCCCAAAACCUCAUUUCUCAACUCUAAACCCUAAACCCUAAAUCCUAAACCCUAAACCCUAAACUCUAAACCUUAAACCCUAAACCCUAAACCCUAAAUCCUAAACUCUAAACCCCACCCUUUAACUCUAAACCCUAAGUUUGUGACUUUUGAUAAAACAUUAAGUGCUAUUUUUGUGACUUUUGACCUUGAGUGCUAAUUUGGGAACAAAAACUUGAUUUAGUACUAUUUUUAUUUUUUUCUCAAAAAUAAAGCUGAAAUUAAAUAAAAUUCGAAGCUACAAUGCUAUUAUAUGUUCAAACACAUCCCAUGAUUAUGUUAUUCUUUCACAAGGCAGGACCAUCGUUAGCCCUUAGUCCAAGAACAUCAACCAUGGGUUUGUAGCUUUUAUUUAUAUACGAAAUAAUUACAAACUAAAAUGGUUCUUUAAGAUUGUGUAAAAUGGCGUAUUUUCUCUCCACCUUGGGGUCUUUUUUUUUUUUUAAGAAAAGAGUUAAACUCGGGUCUAUUAAAGACGCAUACCUAACCUCCGAAUGGAAGGUGCAACCCACGGAUGGAUCAUCUCAUGUGUAUUCAAAUGGGCCGUAAACAUGGACCCAUAUCAGCGUGGCCACAUGUGGAACUAAUAAUUUUGCAAUAGAGAAGAGUCGAUCCCUGGCCUAGACCAACAGAGCAACUCCUGCUCUAGUGGAAACCAGUAGAUCACCACGAUGUGGUUUCCACCUUGGGGUCUUCUAAAACUUAAUUUUAUAUUUCUUUCACCAAAUGUGAAAGCCAUACACAAUAUCUUUUAUAAAAUAUUUUACUUUGUAUCAAAAAUAUACUUUGCAUCAUUUUACAGUUACAGGGAAAUUUAUACCACUCAUUAUAUAUGUUUUGUAUACAAAUUUGGUCAAAGUAAUUGGACCGCAGUCUUGGUUUGCUUUUUUCUUGUCUCGGUAUAUAGUAUAUAGUUAAGGCCAAGGUUAGUUUAUAGUUAAACACUACUCUUUCUUAUCAUACUGUAAUCUGAUGUAGGGGUGGGCACUUUACCCGAUACCUGAAACCGCACCCGAAUCCGACCUGAAAAACCAGAACCGAAAUCUGAAUCGAAGUAGCAAAAUACCUGAACGGAUAUUAAGUUAGGAGAUAUUAGAUAUCCGAACCCGAACGGGUAAUAUCCGAAUCCGAAUGGAUAUCCGAAGAUAACCGAACAUAUAUAUACUUACCCUUAUAUUUCUAGUUUACAUCUCUUAUUUUUUUAAAAAAUAUUUAUAUUGAUGUUACACAUAAUUUAAGAUCAUAACUAUAUAUAUAAUUAUGGAGAAAAUGAUUUGAUAUUCAUUUAAAAUGCAUGUCAAACUUUUUGUUUCAUGUAUUAAUAAAAGUUACAUUCAAAGAUUAAAAACAAUACUCAAAUUAAUAUCUAUUUGUUUUUAAAAUUCUAUCUUCAAACCUAUUAAUCAUUCAAUCUAUAAAAAAUAAAAAAUUAACCAGUUAAGUGAAAUCUAUAUUUUUAAAUACAAGAAACUUAAAAAAUGAAAAAAAUAAUUUUUUUCUUUUAAAAUCUAAAUAUCCGAACCCGAUUCAAAAUAACGGAACCCGAAAUAAAAAUAUCCGAACCCGAUCCGAAGUACAGAAAUAUCCGAACGGGUUCUCUAUCCCUAUACCAAAAUACCCGAAAAUCCGAAACACCCAAUCCGAACCGAACGGGUAUCCGAACGCCCAGCCCUAAUCUGAUGCAUCUAUUGAAAAAUUGGUCUUUUUGCUGGUAAACAUAUAUAGCCAAUGUCCCAUCGAUGAACCACGUAAAUCCGUUAUUCGCUUUUUUUUUUGCUUGGUUUUAUUAUCCGUUAAAACAAUAUAGAUCUUUUUCGUGCAUGUUUGAAGUAAAGCGAGAAGAUUAUUAAUGUGACAAUACAAACUUGCUAAUCAAACAUCAGCCUCACAAGAACUGUUAAGCGAUUUGUUUGACUGCGACAAAUAGACCGUGGCAUGAGAGCACUUAAUAUGAGCCGUUCGAUGUGAUGAUUUCCAUACCGCGACUUUAAACCUAACCUUCGCCUUAACAUACACUUCAAGCUCGAUCUUUCCCAAGGAAUGUUGAUCCCUUAAAUCCUUACCACUGGAUUUAGAAACGGCGACGUUCUGUGCAACCAAAGUGUCAUCAAUUUGCGUUACGUUCAUCCGCGGUUGGUGAAACGGCUCCAUCGUGUCGAACGCAAGCGUCUGGUCCUUGAAUUUCACGUAUAUCUCGACGGAAUUGUAGUAGACAGAUAUUCGGUGGUUAGGGUUAUGAGACUGGAUGGUAAGUUUGAACGUAGCGGACAUGUGAUUGUCGUCCGUGAGGUUAAAAUUUUGGACCGAGGCAUUUUCGAGACUGUAAUGAAGCUUUUUGGGUUUGGUUACAAGCCAUGUAAUGAGAAAACCUAGAGCAAUGAUAAAGAUUAGGGUUAGUAUGACGAGGAAAACGUAGCAGACACGGGAACGGCGGGGAUGCAGUGGCCGAUUUGGAGAAGCUGUUGUCGGCAUUAGGUCUACGUACUUCUAGCUAAGGGGGUUUGGAGUCAAACAUUGGCUUAUUUGGUUAUAUAUAUAGAGUGGAUACUUGUCAUGCAAGAAACCUGGAAAACACGUUGGAUUCUUAUGUUCUUUGCUUCAUCAGUAGAUAAAUGAGUUCUGUUUUUUUAUUACAGCUUUAAAACGUUUUGUUCCUUAUACUUUGCUUUUAACAAUUUAUGUUUUAAAGCUUUAAAAACAUUUGUAUAUUUUCAUGCCCUACCAAAAGAAAAGAAAUAAUUGAGAAUAAAGUGAAAACCUUAAUUGUUUAUGAUAUAGAAUUUAAUAAUUUCUUAUGAAUGUAAAUACUAUAAAUACAUUUUAUAAACAUUUUCUAACAAAGAACUCUACGAUUUGAUUGUGUUUUUUUACUUGCAUGGAACCUUGAAUGGUUUUAUUUUGACAUUUUGAUAGCAACUUAUUUUCAGGCUUAAGGAAAAAUUAGAGAAACCUUCUUUAAGAUUAUCUCUGUUCAGAGAAUUUAUUUUGGACAAUGAACUCAAUAUCAAUCUGGAUACCAAGUUUACGGAAUAAGCCCAAUUAAGCUCAAUAACGAUACAAACAAAAAUUGGAUAAGUUACUGGAAUAGGCCCAAGUAAGCCCAAUAACAAAUUAUAGAGCUGUCACGUGCAAAUCGCCGAGUUUUAUAGACCUCCGCGACUCGGUGCACGCAACCCAUUCCCGAACACCAAGAUGUUUCACUGAGUCGACUCGGCCGCCUCCACAUCCCAUCCCAAGUUAGAUAUUUUGUUCUUCUUUUUUUAUCAUUGUUGUGCUCGUGAUUUUAGUCUUGCACUAUGUUAUAGCAAAAGAGUGUAAUGGAAUUGAUUAGUUGAAAUCAUACGGAUGUUCUCUGCGCAUCACAAAAUGAGUAAUUUGAGUUUGUAUUGGAUGAAUUCAUCGUUAAAGUUUGGAUCUAUAUGUAUUGUAAAGGUGUAAUCAUUAUAAUAUUUAUUCAAAGACGUAAUCUUUAAUCGUUCCAAUGUUGGGAAAUAUCUAAUUCUGGUUCAUGUUUUGAAUUUAUAUAAAACCUUUGAGUUACAUUCAUUUUUUUUUAUUAUUUGAUAUGUCUAUGUAUCUUCUCACCUGCUCUGGGACUGAUUCCAUUUUUUUUUUUGGUUUCUCACUAGAGUCUAUUUGCUAAAGGCUAGUUUGCAAUGGCACCGUCGCGUAACGUCAUUGUAGCCACUGGUCUGGUUGUUUUCGCCUCUGCAGGCUUAGCUUUCCCCUUCUACAUGGCGUAAGAACCCCCGCUCUUCGUUUUUCUACUGUUUAAAAGCUUUUCUCGUCUUGUGGAAUGAUGUUUUUCCUUGUCUUAUUUGAUCGCAGAUCGUCCAAGUGUCAAGCCAAAUGGCUACACAAACUGUAAACCUGAGUUUUCAAUGUGAGGAUCAUUUUGGAAUCUCAUUUCUGAUCCAGUCCAUCUAAAACAUAGUUUUAUAUCAAUUGUUUUAUCAUACUUCUUUUACUUUAGAGUCGGCGCGUCAUACGGGCGGGAUAUACUUUACUUGUGUUCUAUGUUAUUAUUUUUUAUAUAAUUUUGUAAUUUGUGUUUUAGGUUCACAUUUGCAAAAGUUGCGUAUGAGAUAUACUAUUUUAUUAAUUUAAGUUAUUGGUUAGUUAAUUUGUAAAUAAUUUUUGUUUGACUUUUUGCUUUUAUGAUAUUACCAUAAUUGAGUUAUUAUAUCAUUUUCAGUUGAAUUUUUUUUAUUAAAGUAUUUAAAAAAAUCACAUUUAGUUAAUGUCAGUGAUUUAUUAUAUAUUAACAUCUAAAUAAUUUAUUUGUUAUAUCUCAAUUUUAGUGUUUGGCCUUUUUAAAGUAGGAAGCUUGAGUCCGUGAACUGAUCCUUAUAUUUUGUCUUUAAAAUGUUGUUGUUUGGGUUAAUGUGGCCCUGUAAAAUUAAUAGUGAAUUUUUAGUGGUGGUAUGAUAGAUAGACGAUUUUGAACUUUUUUGGAAUGUUUUUAGUACCGUAUGUAUUAACUCGGAGGUUAAAUUAACAUUAAUUGUGAACUCAAUUAUUUAUAGGUGUAAAUCCACAACAAUUUGAGAUAGGAGAUGUAUGGAAUGAGACGUUUUGGAUGAGUGAGUCGGUGAUAUUAAUGAAAACAUUAAUUGUAUUUAAUAAAUCUAACAGAGAACAGUAACGCCGCAGUUUUUUCUCAGCGGGAGGAAGAAGAAACAUGUCAUAACCUAAGUCAAAUAAUGCUUUUCGUACAGACCAAUUUUAAAAAUAAUAGUCUUGUUGUAUGGUCCAUUCUAAAUCAAACUUCUUAGUUUUUUAGCAAGCCCAAAUUAAAUUUAUCCUAUUAAUUGAAACGCAACACUUUGGAGUUGACGGACAUGUGUCGAGACCAAAACACUCGACUUAAUGAUGUGGCGCUGAGGUGUUUUCACAGGAGAGAUGCCAACAUUUUUUUAUAUAUAUAGAAGAUAGAUAUUUAAUUCAUUGUCGAGUAGGUUAGUCUCUAGUGUACCAUGUAAUAUUAGAUGAAUGAACCGUUGAAAAUGUAUUUUCGAAUAUUAAAAUUUUCUCUUCUUUUUUUGGUUCAUGAGAGUAAAAUCAAAAAUUGCUGCCUAUGUGCAUAGAGAAGAUAAUUAUUUCUUUCUUAAAUUGUUAUAUAUUAUGGAUGGAGAUACAAUCUUUAUCACUGCCACCAUAUAAGUAAAUAUACUUUAAGACGCCAAAAUGCUAGUUUGAAGUUAGAUUAAUUGUAACGUUCUUUUCUCAAUAUUGUAACUAUUAUUCAGAAAUCAGAAAGUUGCAUGAAUCAACCGAAACUAUUACCCAUAACUUAGCAGAAGCAUGUAUAAGUAUAAUGAAAAACUACGUCAACUUUUUUAACAUAUCCAUUAUGCAGUAUCAUAAUCAAUUUUUUUGCUAACAUCUUAUAUAUUAAAAUAGAAGUCAUAACAUUGAUUUAUGUGUGAUUUUUUAAAAAAUGGAUCUAGUUGACUUAUUUUUAAAAAGUCAUGUUAUAUUUAAUCUCUAAUCUUAUCAUUUAAAUUUUGGGGCUACCAGAAAUUUUUAUUAGGUUAUCAAUAAUUGGAUUUAAACAAUAGAUGAUCCAUUAGAUUUACAGAUAUUAUAAAUUAAGUAGAUAUAAUUUAUUGUUGUAAUACUAUAUCUCCAUAUGUUAAAUAUUUAAAUAUUUGUCGAUGUUAAUUUUUAAAAUAAUUAAAAAAAAAAUUAAUAACAAAAAUCAUAUUAUCUAACAAUGAUUAAUCUUUACUACCUUAAACCAAUGAAAACAAAUUUUAAACUAUAUAGUUUAUUUUAAAAAUUAAACAAAAACUACAUGUUUAAUUAUUUACUCGAUAACAUAAAUCUAUAAAGCGAAAAGUUUAAUUUUCUUAAAACUUUCUAAAUUUAUGAAAUGUUACAAUAUCUUUGAAUAUGACAAUACAAUAAUAUUUUACUAAUCUUUAUAUAUAUAGUUACGAUUUUAAUAAUGAAAUAAUAAUCCGAAAAUAUAUAUAUAGAAGAAGAUACAAAUACAUGUGAAAAUUUGAAACAAUCUAUUCAAUGAAAAAAUAUACCGUAAACUUAUUAUGUUUUAAAAAUUGAUAGACACAUAUAUUUUAUAAUAUAUACUAAUUUAGAAUUGAAAACAAAAUAUUUAUAUAAAAAUAAAUGAAAACAAAAAUACACGCGGUUGCACUGAUCGAGAACUAGUUAAUGUUAAUACACAAGUCAUUUGAUAAUACGUCUUAGAAAUCUUUAUAUUGUGAUAAUCGGACGCUGCUGCUGCGGCGGGCAAUGGACCGGUGAGUGGCCCAAGAAUAAAGAAACAUGGCUCAUAAGCUUGUCUUUCCUAGAGAACGUAGUCCCACAAGAACAAACCCACUUGACAUCCCCACAAUGCUUCUCGUGCGUCCUAAGAUCAGACAGAACCGAGAAAUGCUUCACGUUACAUCUCCUGCACAUAUACAUUUUCGGACAAUGACUUCUCUUGUAAUGAUUCUUGGCGCAAAUCACAGAUUUCAACGGCUGAAAUUUCUCGUGCCUCUGGUUCCAUCUACACCCAUGAUGUGGGCACGAGUAGUAAUGUCUAGUCGACGAGCAUUCGACUUUCUUAUCAUGGCUCGUUGGACUGAUCAAGGCUUCACGUGUCUUGUACUCGUCUCCGUGCGCUCUCAUGUGCAUCCUUAGAUUCGCAUCUCGCUUAAACCCUUUUCCGCAAAUCUGGCAGUAGUGCGUGUAUUUCGCUAGUAGAUCCGCUACGCCUAGCUCCACUAGCUCAUAGUCACCGGAUCUUGAUUUAUAACGAUGAUCUUCUUUUUUAGGGUUUAUGGUUUGGGUGCCGUACCAGUCAAGAUUCUGCGUAGUCUGGUCGAGAAACGAACUACGCCCUCUUUCUUGAACACCGAGAAAGUUGGCUGACGACUCUCUCGUGAAAUCAUUAUGCCUGUCGAUUUCGCGUGGGGAAAAAUCCGUAACAAUUUUAUCGUUAUCGAAAUUACUGUUGUUAUUAGAUGAGAUAUGGAGUUGUUGGCAAGUGAACAUCAUUGAAUUCGCGGCCGUGAUAAUAUCUUGAACCAAACUUUCGAUGUUAGCCACGGCCAAAUACGACGUUGACUCCGUGGAUUGGUUAUUGUUAUUAGUUGAUAUCAUGAAAAAACUGACCAGAGAUUUGAUCUGAUGGACUUUGUUUUGCAUGGUAGAAGAGAGAGCGAUAUGUCGUCCUCGUCUUCCGAUGAUUUUGUGGCGGCCGUCAUGGGAUUAUUGUAGACUGGAUUUGAGGACGUAGUGGUUGUCUCAGAGAAGCAACACACUGAGCCUUCUCCAUUAUUUAUAAUGUGAUCUCCUUGAUUCAUAUGUGUCUAAGACGAAUCUAAGUAACUUGAGUUUUGUUCUUAUUUUGUUCUUUGGAUUUUGUUGGUUCUUUAGAUUCUUUGUGGUGUCUGUCUUUUAUAUUCAUGCCAGACGUUAUACAGGGAUGGAUGGAAGAAGACACUCUACCGUCUAGGCCUCUAUAAAAUACUUGUUAGUUGUGACAUACAUUCACGCACACAAACAAAAUAUGUCUCACAUCUACUUUUAAUUAUUUUAUUUUAUCUUGGUAUCAUUUUAUCAAAUAGAAAUUCAAAAAAUAUUAUCCAAUAUCAUACUAAUUUGGAGAAGAGUAAUAAAAAUACAAAGGAGAAUUAGGAUAUUGAUAUUUAGAAUUGUGGGUAAUUAUAUGGACAGUAGUUAUGACAUGAUACAAUUACACAAUACAUGAGAUGGAGUCAUGAAUGAUGUUUUCCCCUUUGAAACUGCACUUGUCAUUUGUGUAUGAAUUAUUUACAUUAGCUUAAAAGUGGUUUAAUAAAGAUAUGUGAUGUGGUUAACUAGGAAGUCAACUAGAGUAGAGCAAGCAAAUUAUAAGAGCCAUCCCCACUUACGACCUUCCCCACAUAAACCUACUAAUAUUAUGUCAGCUAUAAACGAAGAAUGUCAAUUGUCAAUCCCAGUUGAAUUAAAUUAAUAGUGAAUCAAAGGCCGACAAAAAAAAAUUUAAUAGUGAAUCACCUAAGCAAGUUUUAGAGUUUUAAUAUAUUUAAGAAAAAGUUAAAGAGUUUUUAAUGGCAUGUUCUUCACGUCUUAUAUAUUUGAUAGACCAUAUAACGGUGAAACUUACAUACUAUUUUAUCAUGUAUUAUUUUAUUUUUUUGAAAAAAAAACAUUCAAAUUAAAGACAUAAAAACAUACAAGGUAUAACUUUGAAACCAUAAAGUUUUAGAAAGCAAGAUGAGACAAUCCUCGUAUUCAGCUAAGCAUGAACUUAGAACAGAAAAACUUAUAGGACAUAAGCUUAGUGAAACAAGAAAAUGAUAAAAGAAACACUAGGGAGUAUGGUAUCCUCGGCCUCGGCAACCUCGUUUACCUUUUCCUCGUAUCGUGUUCUAAUCCACAUCUUGAUACUUUUGAAGUGGUUUUAUUGGCCUUUCACCUCUUGACGUGUUGAGAUUUGCCAUAGCAUCACUUAUUAACCCAUCUUCAUCAUCUUGCACAUUCGGUUGCUCAGUAUGAUAGUGAGAGAGGCUGUCAUGUGUGGGUGCAAAGGCCAAUGAAUUGUCUCCUACUUCCAGAUUGGUUUUAGAGACCAUAAUAGGUGAUGAAAUUUCUUCCAUAAUAGUAGGUUCAGCUGGAGCAGAAAUGAUACCUGCUAAUGGUGGUGAAGUGGACUGAGAAUUGGAGCCAAUGGCUAUUGUUACCUUAGAAUGGAUGGGCAAGUUUGCUGGCAUUGAAAGAGCCUUCAGCUCAACACUCUUUUGUGAUUGCAAUUCUUCAAUCUCUAAGUCAUUAAUGUGUUCUACAAUCUGAUCAGUAGAAGAUAGCACUAAACUCGUUUCUGAGUUUUCAACUUGUACCACCACUUGAUCUGAUACAGCACUAAACUGAGCUGGUUCUUUAUCCGUUUCAACACCUCUUACUUCAUUAGACACCUCAUGCAUUGAAACUGUUUCAACAUGAACUUUUCCGUAUCUACUUCAACACCUCUUGCUUCAUUAGACAGAACCUCAUGCAUUGGACCUGUUUCAACAUUCGCUUGGACAGCUGGGAGAAGACAUCUUUUUUCUUUAUGUCCCAAGUGUCCACAUCUGCCACAAGUACUCGGAAUCCAUGUGUACUCCACAUCUACCAAGAAUAUAUUACCUUGUUUAUCAUCUAAAGAAAUUUGCUUAGGGAAGGGCUUGUCAAGUUCUACUUCCACCAACAGUUUUGCUUCCCCCAAAGUAGUCGGAUCAAGGCAGGUCUGUGCGUUUGCAUAGGCUCACCAAGUCCUGAUGCUACAUGACUGAGACCUAAUCUUGAGUAGCAAGAAUCUGGAACAUUUUUUAAAUUUACCCAAACCGGAAUAGUUGAUACUUCAGGGACUUUGAAUGAGUUCACUGAUUUCCAAGGGGAAACAAAUAGCAAACAGUCAUCAACAUGCCAUACACCUCUCUGAACUACCCAUUCCCGAGUUGAAUCAUGGGGAAUGUGAAAUAUAUAAGAUGACUCGCUAAGCUUUCGACAUCCUAUUCUGCAACUUCUUCCCCACAAUCUAUUCACUACAGCAUGAAUUAAACCUCAAGGAGGAAGAGAACAUCGAUGGAACUGGACAAUGACAUACUCUCUUCUAUUCUCUGGUCCUAAACUAAGAACCUGAGAAGGGAUUGUAACCUGAGGAGUUCCAUCAAGUCGGAAGGUAGGCUUGGUUGCUCGAUAAAGAUUUCUGGUUGCAGGAUUCAUUCUAGCAGCCCAUGGAAACCUUAGUGUUCUAUCAUCCUUAAGCUCCGGAACAGGAAUCUUUUGGACCGGAAUGCGUGGAAACUCUCUUACAGCAGUGUGUGGAUCUCUUUUUUUCUUCCCAAUUCCAUCAUUUAGUGUUGGCCAGAAAGAGUCAAGUAGGUUGUUGAGGUACUGUGGGUCAAAAUCUGAUGGUGUUGCUGGCAUUGGAGGAGUAGCAGGUGGUGCGCAUGUCAGAGGUUUGGCCCAUGCUCCAAGAGAUGGAACAAAAGCAUCUGGUGGGUUAGAAGAUAGCUCUCCCGCAUCAACCAAAGAAUCGACAGCAUCAAUUUCUUUUUCAGAAUCCUCAUCAAGAACAGGAACUUUGGCUAUAUCGGUGUUAUUGAUCGGUGAUUGCAGGAGCGCCGGAGAGCUCUCUGUCAUAGAAAAGGGGUAAGAGAGGUUGAUAGUUAUUGGAGAGGAGGAAGCCGGCAAGGAGAAGUUAGAGCUCGUCUUAGUUUUCAUUUCAUCAUUGGGAGGCUUGAGAUCCAUGUCAAAACAGAGCACAAGAGAGAGAUGUUUGGUUUGCUGGGUUCGUAUGGAGAAGACGAGACCGGAUUUGGAGCUCGUGGUGGGAGACGCGCCGGAGCAGAGUCGAGAGAUGAAGACGACUAACAGGCGAAACUUUGACUCUUUUUCUUUUUUUUUCCAAGGGAUUUUUUUUAACUUUCUUUUAUCAUGUAUUAUUUGAAUAUAUUUUCAUUUAAUGGUGAAGUUUACAUAACGGUGGGUGUAGCUUACAUCCCUAAUACUAUCUUAUGUCACACGUAUAACCAAUGCUUUAGAAAAGAACUCCUACAUGCAUUAAUCCUGUUAUCUCCUAUAACAUGCACACUUGUAAACGCGUGCUUAUAUAAUUGGAUCUUACCGGGGAUAUUAACAAUGUGGCAGUCUGCAUGAUGAAGGCCUUUAAAGAUCUGGCAAUCUGCAUGAGUUGAAAUUUUGGUAAGAUAUCUUUGUCAAGCGUAUUCAUUUUAGAUUUUUUUUUUUUUUUUUUGACGUCAAACGGCCAUUUUAUUACUCAAGCUUGAGGGGGGCUGGGUAACCAAACCGGAAUAGAACAACCAACAAAAUGUAACUCUCUAUGGAAGGAUCUAUCAGUCUUAGCUAAAAAAUCUGAAAAAUGAUUGCGCGCUCGUGGUACGUGAAUGAUUUUGAAGUCCGGGAAGAAUAUCUGUAGCGUCUCUAUUCUCUCCAAUUCUGUCGCAAAACUUGGCCAAGCUUUAGGCUCCUUUAUCAUUGCAAUCAGCUCCUUACCAUCUGUCCCAAAGGUUUGACAUGGUGAAUGUUGAAGCAUGUUCUCCAUUGCCCACCGUAGUGUUUCUAUUUUCGAAUACAAGACUGAUUCGCGCCGAGUGAAAUUUUUCGUCCCCAUUAGCUGAAUGACUCCACCACUGUCCAUCCAGACCCAUCCACAUCCACUAAAAAGGACAGAGGUUGUCCAAGAUACAUCGAACAAACAUAUAGUCCCUAAACUUAUGACUUGGGAUUCCUCGGUAUUAUUAUCUUGUAGUAUUCAUUUUAGAUUUCAAAAGAGCUAUUUGUUACAUAUUUAUAUUAAUGAACAAAAUUUGUAUAAAGUGGAUGGAUGAUUAAUGUUAUUUUCUUUGUUAGCUUUGGUGAAUUAUUUGUGGAAGAACGUCGCGUUAACGCAAUUGUGUUCUAAACAAUUACUGCUACCUCAUUUAAUUAAAACUGUAAUCUAUUUCGCGUGAUAAACAAACAAGUCUAUUCUAAUUAAUUUAAUCGUAGAUUCGUCUAGACUAGAAUACUGAAGUGACGCAAAAAGACGUGACCAACGCCUUUAUCAAAAAAAAACGAUGUACUCUUUCGGUCAAUCGCCAGACAUGCGAAGAACAGAACAAUGACUCUAACGCAAGACAAAAGGAUGGUGAAUGCUUACCAAAGCUGGAUUGGGGCUGUGAGAACAUAGCGAAAUAUUUUGACAGUCUCAUUGUUUUAAAAACAAAGUCCUUAACACUAACAUAGUAGCUCAGGCUGUAAACAAGUUCUAUUUUCUUUUGAAUUAAAUUUAACAUUUUAUUCAAAAAAAAAAGAUGCGACCAACACAAGCUAUAUUACCAACUAUGCGUUAAGUUAGUGGUUUAGCGCUUGGAAUCAAUUUCAUGUUUCUAAUUAAAUUUUCAUUGGGAAGAUGGAUUUACGCCAUGUCUCCAUAUUAUCAACCACUGCUUCCAGUCUGGAAGGAUUAGUCAGACCUAAGGUCUGGAUCAUAUUAUAUUUAAUUUUAUUGGAAAGUCGGAACACUUGGAUUGGGAGGAUGAUGAUCAUAUUCUAAUUGCCAUGAAUUAUCUUUACUUUAAAUUUCAUUUAAAACAUGUUUGGUAUGAAUUAGGGGUUUGAACAAUUGAAAUUCCAUUACAACUCUUAAUUUUUUUUUUUUGUCAACAACUCUUAAUUUUAUUACUAGAUUCUUAGCUAACAAAAAGAAGAAGAAAAACAGUAAACUAGUUUAGAAAUGAUUAAUCAACAUAAAGAAAGAUCUAAUGGACUAGAGUGGUCUCUCUAGACUCUAGUUGUGAGAUAAAAAAAAGAACAAAUGUGUUGCCAGAUAUAACAAAAAUGAAGAAGAAUAAAAAGUAACAGAAAUAAAAUUAAAAAAUGUGUUCCCACUGAAGCAACUAUUUCGCCUUUUAGGAUUGAACAUGGACUUUUUAACAAUUGAUUAUUUUGUGACAUAAAAGCAACUACGCUUUUUCUAGGAUUGAACAUGGACUUUUUAACAAUUAAUUAUUUUGUGAAAUAUUCUUUACGGAAUGUUCCAUAUCGUGUUUUAUUCAUAUAUCCCACAAAUUCUUUUAUCAUUUAUCUUAAAUGGAAGGAAAUGAUAGUUUUCUUCUUUCUUCUUUUGGUAUUGUCUGUUAUAGUAGUACUAGCUAGGUGGUGAGGGACCCGUAAAUUAGCAGAUUUAAGUUGUGUAAAACUAUUAGAAAACUAACUGUAACCAGAAUCUUAUUGAUCUUGUUUCUGAUUAGUUCUUUGCCUAUUCACAAUUUUACUAUUCUUAGGGAAUUUUUAAACACAGAUGAAAAAAUUACAAUUAAGUUGUUGGACCUGACAUAAACACUGGUUCACGCGAUGUUGGACCUGACCAUCGUACAUACCCUAAGAAAUGAUGCUAUCGAGUCAAGACACAUCGCUACACAAACUGUAAACACGAGUUUUCAAUGGGAGUUCAUUUUUGAAUCUCUUUUAUGAUCCAAUCCACCAAAAUAUGGUGUUAUAACAUUUUUUUGCUUUAUAUACUUCCUUUAUUUAAAAUAUUUAGUAAUAAUUGUCAAGUAGUCUAUACUGUACAUCUAUAUCAGAAGAAAUGGACCGUUGAAAAUGUAUUGUCAAAAUUAAAAAUUCUUUUUUUUUUUCUAUUCAUGAGAGAAAAUCACAAUGGAUGAAAAUUGCUGCGUAUGUGCAUAGAGAAGAUAAUUAUUUCUUUCUUAACCAAGUUGCUUUGGUCUAGUGGUAUAGGAGCUCCAGCUGGAUUGACCGCCCCUGGGUUCAAGCCUUGGCCACUGCGGAAUUUACAUGUGGGCUGCAGCACCCGAGACCGAAGACCGUUACACGGUGAGCCACAUGGUGACGCCCUGGCAGCGUCCUUGCUCACUUCGGUCUCUAGUCUGGACCACCUCGGUGGGGCCAGGAUACUCGAUUAGCAAAAAAAAAAAAAAAUUAUUUCUUUCUUAAAUUGUUAUAUAUGGACGAAAAUACUAUCUUUAGUGCUGCCACCAACUGACACCAAUUGUAAACAUAUGUCAAAUAUAUUAUAAGAUGUUACAUUGCUAGUUUGAAGUCAGAUGAGCCAUUGUCACGUUAGUUUCUCAACAUUGUAACUAUUAUUCAGAAAUCAAAAGUUGCAUGGAUUAACCAAAACUAUUACCCAUAACUUAGCAGAAGCAAGAAUGAUGAAAAACUACGUACUCUUUUUUAACAUAUCCAUAAUGCAGUAUCGUAAUCAAAAUAAUUUGUAACAUUAACGCUAAUGCACAAGUCAUUUGAUAAUACGUAGAAAUCUUUAUAUUGUGAUAAUCGGACGCUGCUGCGGCGGCGGGCCAUGGACCGGUGAGUGGCCCACGAAUAAAGAAACAUGGCUCAUAAGCUUGUCUUUCCUAGAGAACGUAGUCCCACAAGAACAAACCCACUUGAUAUCCCCACAAUGCUUCUCGUGCGUCCUAAGAUCAGACAAAACCGAGAAAUGCUUCACGUUACAUCUCCUGCACAUAUACAUUUUCGGACAAUGACUUCUCUUGUAAUGAUUCUUGGCGCAAAUCACAGAUUUCAACGGCUGAAACUUCUCGUGCCUCUGGUUCCAUCUACACCCAUGUUGAGGGCACGAGUAGUAAUGUGUCAUCAAUGAGUGUCCUUCGACUUUCUUGUCAUGGCUCGUUGGGCUGAUCAAGGCUUCACGUGUCUUGUACUCGUCUCCGUGUGCUCUCAUGUGCAUCCUUAGAUUCGCGUCUCUCUUAAACCCUUUUCCACAAAUCUGACAGUAAUGCGUGAACUUUGCUAGUAGAUCGUCUGCGCCUAGCUCCAAUACCUCAUAGUUCCCGGGUCUUGUUUUAAAACGAUGCUGAUCUUUUUUAGGGUUUAUGGAUUGUGUGCCAUGCCAGUCAAGAUUAUGGUCAAUAAACGAAAUAUUUCCUCUUUCUUGGACGCCAAGAAAGUUGGUUGACGACUCUGGCGGGAAGUCAUGAUCCGGUUCGGUCUCUUGUGUGGAAUACUUCAUAACAAUUGCAUCAACGGUUUGUUCGUUAUUGAAGUUACUGUUGUUGUUAGAUGGGAUGUGGCGUUGUUGGCAAGUGAGCAUCAUUGAAGUAGCUGCCGUGACGAUCUCUUGAACCAAGCUUUCGAUGUUAGCCACGGCCAAAGACGACGUUGACUCCGAGGAUUGGUUGUUGUUAGAGAUCAUGAAAAAGCUGACCAGAGAUUGGAUGUGGUGGACUUUGUCUUGUAUUGUGGAGAGAUUGAGUAGAAGAGAGAGCGAAAUGCUGUGGUCCUCUUCCGAUGAUUUCGUCGCCGCCGUCAUGGGAUAGAGAUGAUUUGAGGACGUAAUGGUCGUCUCGGAGAAGCAAGGCAUUGAGCCUUCUCCGUUGUUCAUAAUAUGCUCUCCUUGAUUCAUAUGAUCUUCUUGAUUCAUUUGUGUAUAAGAAGAAUCUAAUUAACUUGAGUUUAACCUUAUUUGUUCUUUUGAUUUUCUUGGUUCCUUAAAUUCUUUGUGGUGUAUUUGUUUUAUAUAUAUAUGACAGCCUUCCUAGAGGGGUGGAUUAUUGAAUAAGACACCCUACCUUCUAAGCAUACAUUCACGCACACAAAUGUAUACGAUUCACGCCUACUAUUUUUUUAUCUUUUUUUGGUAUUAUUUUAUCAAUUUUUUUCUUUCUAAAUCAGCUACUAUUCUACUAAUUUGGAAAACAUUUGAAAAAAGCAAAUUCUGGCAACGGUAUUUAGCCAAAAACAAACACAAAUGAAAUACAAAGGAGAAACCGGCAAUCUAUUGAAUCUGACGAUUCUUUGAGCCAUGCAUUCAUCGCUGAAUUCAAAGUCCGAUAGACGUAUCUUGAUUUCAUAUUUAAUAAGCGUUUAAAUAUUUUCUAUAUAGUGAUUUGUGUAUAGAAAAAUGUUUCAGAUUGUAGUCUAUAUAUUUUUUGUGGAUAUCAAUCCAUUAAUUAAGACCUCAAUCCACUAAUUACGACCUAAGAAUAUUUGGAAUAAUAUUUUGAGUAACUUAAUUUAUGGACAGUAAUUAUGACACAAUGUAUGAAAUGAAGUCAUGAAUGAUACAUUAGGUUAAAAGUUGAUGUGAUUAACAAGAAAUUCAACUAGAUUAGAGAAAGCAAGUAAGACCUUCCUCGCAUAAACCUACUAAUAUUUUGUCAGCUAUAUAUAUCUUAAAAUAAACGAAGAAUGUCAAUCCCAAAUUCCCAAUUAAAUUAAAUUAAAAGUAACUAACUUAAGUCAAGUUUUAGAUGGCCUGUUCGUCACGUAUUAAUUGAAUAUACAUUCAUAUGACGAUAAAAUUUACAGAACGGUGAAGAUUAUAUACCAUCUUAUGCCACUUAUUAUUUGAAUAUACAUACAUGUAACGCCAGCUUACAUACUAUCUUAUGUCACAUGUAUAAACAAUGCUUUAAAAAUAUUCUUCAACAUGCAUUCCUCGUACUGCUUUUAUGCGCAUAUGUAAACGCGUGCUAUAUAAUAGGAUGUUACAGGGAACAUUAACAAUGAGGCAAUCUGCAUGCGUUGCAAUUUUUUAGUAGAGUAAUCUGGGUCAACCGUAUUCAUUUUAUAUUUCAAAGGGAAUAACUUUAGUUGGAACUUGGAACAUAUCUAUAUUAAUGAAUAACUGGCAUUUAUAUAAAGUGGAUGGAUGAUUAAUGCUCUUUUUGUAGCUUUGGUAAAUUAUUUGUGGAAGAAUGUCGAGUCAACGCAAUUGUGUUAGAAAUUUUGCUACCUACAUGCGGGUCCACACGAAUCAAAUAUACAGAUUUUUAAAGUAUUCGUUUUGUUCGAAUAAUCAAUUAUCUGAUUCGAUUUUUUGCUAUUCCGAAAUUCGGUGUACAUAUAUUCAAAAAAUUAUAUUUUAAUUGGAUCUUCGAUUCGAUCCAUACCAAUAAAUUAAAAACUAAAAUAUCCAAAAUAAUAUAAAUAAUAGUAUUUUAUUACAAAAAUAAAAAUUAUUUACUUUAAUUUUUUUAAUAACUAAAAUAAUCAAUUUAAUAAAAAAAAUAUUAUAAAGCUUAUAUAUAAUUAUAGAAAUAUAUGUAUAUAUAUAUAUAUAUGCACAUAAUAGAUCGUAUUGAAUAUCCGUGAUAUGAUUGCUUCGUUUUUACGAAUAUUACAUAUUAGAGCAUGUUUAUUGUAGAUCUUUUAGAUUAAAUCUCUUAUCGUAAUAUAAGAUACGGUCUCUUAGCUUUUAACUAAAAAAAACUAAGAGACGUCUCUUAAAUAAAAGAUAUAAGAGACGUCUCUUAACUUUUUUAGUUAAAAUCUAAGAGACUGUAUCUUAUAUUACGUUAAGAGACUCGACCUAAGAGACAUGCAAUAAACAUGCUCUUAGUAUUUGCUUUGCUUCAAAGAGUUACGGAUACCUAAUUUUUUUGGUUAAAAAACGAAUAACAAAUCAAAUCAAAUUUAAAUAUAUUUUGUCCGGCUUAGUUACAACUAUAAUCUAUUUCGGAUGUCAAACAGCAGUAUUUUAACUAUUUUUGUUUUUAGAAAUUGAUCCGUCAAUACUAUAAAAUUGGAAAAUGACGCAAAAAGAUGUGACCAUCCAACUUAUACUAUAUUUUAAUUUGUUGGAAAAUCAGAGUUGAUCUAGUCAGAUUGACUCAGGAGUGGAAUGAUAUUGAUAUUCCAAUUGUCAUGAAUCAUCCUUAACCUUUUUAAGAAAUUUCCAUAUUCAUGCUUUUAAUUUCAUUCAUUUAAAACAUUUUUUUGAUUAAAUUUGGAGUUUGAACGGUUAAAAUGCCCUUACAACCCUUAGUUUUAUAUAUUACUAGUUUUUUAGCAAAAAAAAAAAACUAUUUUAGCAAUGAUUAAUCAACCAUAAGAAAGAUCUGAUUGACUAGAGUGGUCUAGUGAGAAAUGAAGAACAAAUGUGUUGUAAAAAUACGAAUAACAGAACAAAUGUAGAUGAACAAAAAGUAACACAAAUAAAACUAAGAUUUGUUGCCCAUUAAAGCAACUAUUAUGCUUUUUCUAUGACAUGUGCCUUUUAACAAUGGAUUAUUGAGUGAAGUUUUUUAUGGAAGGUUUUUAUUCAUAUAAAGUCCACAAAAUUUCAUCAUUUAUCUUAAAUGGACUGAAACGAUCAUUUGUUCUUUUUAUUCUCUCUUCUUUCUCCUUUUGGUAUUCUGUUAUAGUAGGCGGUGACCCGUAAGUUUUAUAAAAGAACAAGAUUUAGGUAUCUUUAAAUUCACAUCUCCUCUUAUUACUAAUCAAAAUGUCACAUAAAUUAAUAAUAAAAUAGAUUAAUUUUAUUUAAAAAAAUCUGAAAUAAUUGAAAAAAAAUAAUAACGCCAAUUUUAAUGAUAUUAACGCUAUUAACUAAACCCUAAGCUUUAAAUCUAUACCCUAAACCCAAAUCAUAAACCCUAAAUCCAAACCGUAAACCGUAAACCCAAACUCUAUAUCCUAAACCCAAAUCCUAAAUCCUAAACCCAAACCGUAAACCCUAAACUCAAACUCUAUCUCCUAAACCCAAAUCAUAGACUCUAAACUCAAACGAUAUAUCCAAACCUAAUCCUUACGCCCUAAACUCAAAUCGUAAACCCUGAACCCAAAUCCUAUAUCCUAAAGGUUUGGGUUAAUGUUGAUGUUGUUUCUUUAAAGUUUAAGAUUUGGGUUUAGAUUCUAGGGUUUGAGUUUAAGGUGUAGGGUUUAGGUUUAAAGUUUACAGUUUGGGUUUAGGGUUUAGGAUUUAGGAUUUGGGUUUAAGAUAUAUGGUUUGGGUUUAGGGUUUAGAGUUUGGGUUUAGAAUUUAGGGUUUAGGGUUUAGAUUUAAGGUUUAGAGUUUAGAAUUAGGGUUUAGUUAGUGACGUUAGCGUUAUUAAAAUGAAUGUCAUUAUUUUUUUAAAAUUAUUUUAGAUUUUUUUAAAAGAAAAAUGUAUUUUAUUAUUAAUCUAUGCGGCAGUUUGAUUGGUAAUAAGAGAAAAUGUGAAUUUAAAAAUUCACCUUAGGUGACCCUAAGUUUUAUUCUUUAGAAAACUGUAAGAAAAACCAACUGUAACCAGAAUCUUAUUAAUCCUGUUUCUGAUUAGUUCUUUGCCUAUUCACAAAUUUCCUAUUCUCAGGUUUUUUUUUUAAAACAUAGAUGAAAAUAACAAUUAAGUUGUGUAAACCUGUAAAAUAACCUAACAGUAAGCAGAAUCUUAUUAAUCUUGUUUCCGGUUAGUUCUUUGCACAUUCACACACUUACUAUUCUUAGGGUUUUCGAAAACCACACAUGAAAAAAACUUUCGUUCACACUUCGAUUCUUGUUUCCAACAGUAAAAACUAAUUAAAUGAAUUUAUUCGUGUUAAAAAACAAAUCUUUAUAAUCGUCUCUCCGUAAAAAAAUUGUUAGUGCAAUCUUUUCUUUGGUCUGUUUCCUUUUGUUUGUUGUUGGAUUCUUCUUCGUCUUCGUUGAGGGUUUUCAACAAUGGAGUUUGGAGAUGAUAAGAUGCUUUACCUGAGAGACACAUGGAAAGAAUCAAACAUGAUCUGCGACGUCACGCCUCUAAACCCUAGCUCUAAUGGCGUUUGGCCUUCUCCUAACUUCACAGAUCCUAAUAUAAACAUUCAUUUCUGGGACCACGCGUUUCCACACUUACAGUUGAUAUUUCUCGUCAUUUCUUUCCUAUGGCAGUUCUUGCAUUUCUUCCUCCGCCGUCUCGGCAUGAUACGUUUCACGUCCCAUAUGCUUGUGAGUUAUUAUCACGAUCUCUCUAGAUUUUGAGUUUGAGGUUUGGUAUUUAUAUAUAUUUUUUUUUGUAGACUGGUGUUCUCUUGAGCAAGUCUUUUAUAAAUGAGAAUACAGCUGCGAGGAGAUUCUUCGCUUCAGAGGAUUACAAAGAGAUUGUGUUUAGUCUUGUUUCUGCUUGCUCUUACAUGAUGUUCUGGUUCUUGAUGGGAGUUAAAAUGGACAUGGGUUUGAUCCGAACCUCGGGGAGGAAAGCUAUCACCAUUGGUCUUUCCUCUGUCUUACUCUCCAUUUUGGUUUGUUCAGUUAUCUUUUUCGGAAACUUGAAAGACGUGGGAAACAAGAGAUCGGAUAAUACGCUUAGUUCUUUGGAAGCCGUAGUGGUUUACUCGAUACAAUGCCUUUCUUCUUUCCCUGUCGUUGGGAACCUUCUCUUUGAGCUAAGGCUACAGAACUCAGAGCUAGGUCGUCUCGCCAUCUCCGCUGCCGUCAUCAGCGACUUCAGCACCUCGGUUCUCUCUUCAUCUCUCAUCUUCAUGAAGGAGCUCAAGGACGAGCAAACACGGCUCGGGAGCAUGUUUAUAGGAGAUGUCAUCGCUGGGAACCGUCCUUUGAUGCGAGCAGCGGUAGCUGUUCUCUUUGUUUGUGUUGCCAUCUAUGUUUUCAGACCGUUGAUGUUCUACAUUAUUAGAAAAACACCAUCUGGUCGGCCCGUCAGGCCAAUCUACCUAGCUAUAAUCAUUGUUAUGGUCUCUGGAUCAGCCGUACUUGCCAACUGGUGCAAACAAUCUAUUUUCAUGGGACCUUUCAUAUUAGGUCUCGCUGUUCCUCAUGGCCCUCCUUUAGGCUCGGCGAUCGUUCAGAAGUUUGAGUCAGCAAUAUUCGGCACUUUUCUUCCGUUUUUCGUUGCCUCAUCUUCAAGUGAGAUAGACAUUUGGGCUUUGCUUAAUUGGAGUGCACUCAAUGGCAUUAUAUACAUCAUGGUAACAUCUUUCGUCGUCAAGUUUAUUUUGACCACUCUUCCUGCUUUGUUCUACGGUAUGCCAAUGGAAGACUGCUUCGCCAUCUCUCUUAUUAUGUCUUUUAAAGGCAUCUUCGAGCUCGGUGCCUACGCCUUGGCCUUCCAAAGAGGGGUAUGUAGACACUAGACACACAUAUACGCCACUAGACACACAUAUACGCCACAACCAUAUAUAAUCAAUGUUCAAAAAAUCAUUAGGCAGUAGUUAUGCGCUUUCUAGAAAAUUAAUGCUUAGGCAGGUGUCUAUAGUCGCUGCCGUCUAGACUGACUUUUUCAAAUUGUUUCAUUUAUGAUUAUUUUGCCGUCUAGGUGCACUGACCAUAAUUAUUUUAAUACAAAAAACUCUAUCUCAUGUCUAUGUUUUGAACAUUUGCAGUCUGUCCGUCCUGAGACCUUCACCGUUGCAUGUCUUUACAUAACGUUGAACUCCGCAAUCGUACCUCCGAUUCUGAGGUACUUAUACGACCCAUCGAGGAUGUACGCAGGGUACGAGAAGCGGAACGUGCAGCACCUGAAACCGAACUCCGAGCUGAGGAUCUUGUCGUGCAUCUACAGAACAGAUGACAUAAGCCCAAUGAUCAACCUCCUUGAAGCCAUAUGCCCGUCCCGGGAAGCUCCUGUAGCAGCCUACGUUCUCCACUUGUUAGAGCUCGUGGGGCAAGCCAACCCCAUCUUCAUUUCCCACAAGUUACAGACUUGCAAAACAGAAGAGACGUCUUUCUCAAACAAUGUGGUUCUCUCCUUUGAAAAAUUCCACAAAGAUUUAUUCGGUUCGGUCUUCGUAAGCACCUUCACGGCCGUGUCUAUGCCCGAUACGAUGCAUGGAGACGUAUGCAUGCUUGCAUUAAACAACACUACUUCUCUCAUCCUCCUUCCUUUUCACCAGAGUUGGUCUGCUGACGGAUCAGCUCUCAUCUCGGACAGCAACAUGAUCAGGAACCUUAACCAGAGCGUUCUUCAAGUAGCGCCAUGCUCUGUCGGAAUCUUUGUCUAUAGAAGCAGCUACGGUCGGAGAAACAUCAAUGACACGGUUUUAAACAUGUCAUCCUACAAAGUAUGUAUGAUCUUCAUUGGUGGUAAAGACGAUAGAGAAGCCGUGACACUUGCGACUAGAAUGUCACGUGACCCUAGAAUUAACCUGACCGUGGUCCGAAUGACUACUGUCGAUGAUAAAGUAAAAGAAAUCUCGGAGUGGGAUAAAAUGCUUGACGAUGAACAUCUUAGAGAGAUGAAGAGCAACGCAUCAGUAGAUGUCUUUUAUACUGAAAAGGCGAUCUUAGACGCUACUGAGACACCGGGUGUGAUGAAAUCGUUGGCGAGUGAGUUCGAUAUGUUCGUAGUGGGGAGAGGAAAAGGGAGGAAGAGUGUGUACACGGAUGGGCUUGAGGAGUGGAGUGAGUUUAAAAAACUGUAAGAAAAACCAACUGUAACCAGAAUCUUAUUAAUCCUGUUUCUGAUUAGUUCUUUGCCUAUUCACAAAUUUCCUAUUCUCAGGUUUUUUUUUUAAAACAUAGAUGAAAAUAACAAUUAAGUUGUGUAAACCUGUAAAAUAACCUAACAGUAAGCAGAAUCUUAUUAAUCUUGUUUCCGGUUAGUUCUUUGCACAUUCACACACUUACUAUUCUUAGGGUUUUCGAAAACCACACAUGAAAAAAACUUUCGUUCACACUUCGAUUCUUGUUUCCAACAGUAAAAACUAAUUAAAUGAAUUUAUUCGUGUUAAAAAACAAAUCUUUAUAAUCGUCUCUCCGUAAAAAAAUUGUUAGUGCAAUCUUUUCUUUGGUCUGUUUCCUUUUGUUUGUUGUUGGAUUCUUCUUCGUCUUCGUUGAGGGUUUUCAACAAUGGAGUUUGGAGAUGAUAAGAUGCUUUACCUGAGAGACACAUGGAAAGAAUCAAACAUGAUCUGCGACGUCACGCCUCUAAACCCUAGCUCUAACGGCGUUUGGCCUUCUCCUAACUUCACAGAUCCUAAUAUAAACGUUCAUUUCUGGGACCACGCGUUUCCACACUUACAGUUGAUAUUUCUCGUCAUUUCUUUCCUAUGGCAGUUCUUGCAUUUCUUCCUCCGCCGUCUCGGCAUGAUACGUUUCACGUCCCAUAUGCUUGUGAGUUAUUAUCACGAUGUCUCUAGAUUUUGAGUUUGAGGUUUGGUAUUUAUCUUCUUUUUUUUUUUUUUUUGUAGACUGGUGUUCUCUUGAGCAAGUCUUUUAUAAAUGAGAAUACAGCUGCGAGGAGAUUCUUCGCUUCAGAGGAUUACAAAGAGAUUGUGUUUAGUCUUGUUUCUGCUUGCUCUUACAUGAUGUUCUGGUUCUUGAUGGGAGUUAAAAUGGACAUGGGUUUGAUCCGAACCUCGGGGAGGAAAGCUAUCACCAUUGGUCUUUCCUCUGUCUUACUCUCCAUUUUGGUUUGUUCAGUUAUCUUUUUCGGAAACUUGAAAGACGUGGGGAACAAGAGAUCGGAUAAUACGCUUAGUUCUUUGGAAGCCGUAGUGGUUUACUCGAUACAAUGUCUUUCGUCUUUCCCUGUCGUUGGGAACCUUCUCUUUGAGCUAAGGCUACAGAACUCAGAGCUAGGUCGUCUCGCCAUCUCCGCUGCCGUCAUCAGCGACUUCAGCACCUCGGUUCUCUCUUCAUCUCUCAUCUUCAUGAAGGAGCUCAAGGACGAGCAAACACGGCUCGGGAGCAUGUUUAUAGGAGAUGUCAUCGCUGGGAACCGUCCUUUGAUGCGAGCAGCGGUAGCUGUUCUCUUUGUUUGUGUUGCCAUAUAUGUUUUCAGACCGUUGAUGUUCUACAUUAUUAGAAAAACACCAUCUGGUCGGCCCGUCAGGCCAAUCUACCUAGCUAUAAUCAUUGUUAUGGUCUCUGGAUCAGCCGUACUUGCCAACUGGUGCAAACAAUCUAUUUUCAUGGGACCUUUCAUAUUAGGUCUCGCUGUUCCUCAUGGCCCUCCUUUAGGCUCGGCGAUCGUUCAGAAGUUUGAGUCAGCAAUAUUCGGCACUUUUCUUCCGUUUUUCGUUGCCUCAUCUUCAAGUGAGAUAGACAUUUGGGCUUUGCUUAAUUGGAGUGCACUCAAUGGCAUUAUAUACAUCAUGGUAACAUCUUUCGUCGUCAAGUUUAUUUUGACCACUCUUCCUGCUUUGUUCUACGGUAUGCCAAUGGAAGACUGCUUCGCCAUCUCUCUUAUUAUGUCUUUUAAAGGCAUCUUCGAGCUCGGUGCCUACGCCUUGGCCUUCCAAAGAGGGGUAUGUAGACACUAGACACACAUAUACGCCACUAGACACACAUAUACGCCACAACCAUAUAUAAUCAAUGUUCAAAAAAUCAUUAGGCAGUAGUUAUGCGCUUUCUAGAAAAUUAAUGCUUAGGCAGGUGUCUAUAGUCGCUGCCGUCUAGACUGACUUUUUCAAAUUGUUUCAUUUAUGAUUAUUUUGCCGUCUAGGUGCACUGACCAUAAUUAUUUUAAUACAAAAAACUCUAUCUCAUGUCUAUGUUUUGAACAUUUGCAGUCUGUCCGUCCUGAGACCUUCACCGUUGCAUGUCUUUACAUAACGUUGAACUCCGCAAUCGUACCUCCGAUUCUGAGGUACUUAUACGACCCAUCGAGGAUGUACGCAGGGUACGAGAAGCGGAACGUGCAGCACCUGAAACCGAACUCCGAGCUGAGGAUCUUGUCGUGCAUCUACAGAACAGAUGACAUAAACCCAAUGAUCAACCUCCUUGAAGCCAUAUGCCCGUCCCGGGAAGCUCCUGUAGCAGCCUACGUUCUCCACUUGUUAGAGCUCGUGGGGCAAGCCAACCCCAUCUUCAUUUCCCACAAGUUACAGACUUGCAAAACAGAAGAGACGUCUUUCUCAAACAAUGUGGUUCUCUCCUUUGAAAAAUUCCACAAAGAUUUAUUCGGUUCGGUCUUCGUAAGCACCUUCACGGCCGUGUCUAUGCCCGAUACGAUGCAUGGAGACGUAUGCAUGCUUGCAUUAAACAACACUACUUCUCUCAUCCUCCUUCCUUUUCACCAGAGUUGGUCUGCUGACGGAUCAGCUCUCAUCUCGGACAGCAACAUGAUCAGGAACCUUAACCAGAGCGUUCUUCAAGUAGCGCCAUGCUCUGUCGGAAUCUUUGUCUAUAGAAGCAGCUACGGUCGGAGAAACAUCAAUGACACGGUUUUAAACAUGUCAUCCUACAAAGUAUGUAUGAUCUUCAUUGGUGGUAAAGACGAUAGAGAAGCCGUGACACUUGCGACUAGAAUGUCACGUGACCCUAGAAUUAACCUGACCGUGGUCCGAAUGACUACUGUCGAUGAUAAAGUAAAAGAAAUCUCGGAGUGGGAUAAAAUGCUUGACGAUGAACAUCUUAGAGAGAUGAAGAGCAACGCAUCAGUAGAUGUCUUUUAUACUGAAAAGGCGAUCUUAGACGCUACUGAGACACCGGGUGUGAUGAAAUCGUUGGCGAGUGAGUUCGAUAUGUUCGUAGUGGGGAGAGGAAAAGGGAGGAAGAGUGUGUACACGGAUGGGCUUGAGGAGUGGAGUGAGUUUAAGGAGCUUGGUGUUAUUGGUGAUUUACUGGCUUCACAUGAUAUCAAUUCUCAGGCUUCUGUUUUGGUUAUACAACAACAACAGCUUAUGAUUUAGGUCAAUGUUCCUUGUUACCUACGCAAUUCAUUUGUAGUUUUACCAAUUUUCUUUUCACUAUAGUCAUUCGAAAGUUAAUUGUAAUUAUGGUAUUCUUUUGUAAAUUUCACUUAAUCCAUUCAAAUUUUUUUUUUGUAACUUAAAUUUCACUUAAUCCAUUCAAAUUUUACUUUCUGGAAAACUCAGUUUCUCGUUAAGAUAAAGCUUUGUUCAUCAGAAGAGCAAAUUAACUGAGAAGAAAUUGAUUGGUGUAUGUCAUGUAUCAUCAACAUAAUGUGGAUUCACCCAUGAUGUGAAGUACUUCUCUGUUUGAUGAGGUCAUUGACAUGUGACACUCACUCAUGUUGUUGAGCUACUAAAACAGAAACUCUAGUUCUUAGAUCUUCAGAUGCAAGCAGCUCCGGUCUAACAUUUUCAAUUUUUUAUGUCUUAUUAUGUUCACUUAAAACUUUGCGUCUUUUUAUUCAUGUGAAAUUUUAUAGUGUUAUAUAUACAAUUAAAAUUUUCAUUUAAAAUCAUGAUGUGCUAAGCGGUGGGGUUUUUUUUACCUAUGCUCUGGACCGGCCAUAGAUGCUAGCAAACCGGAUGCCUCCUAACUCCUAAAGCUCCAUCCACUCAGCUAAUCCAGAGAAACCCCCAGUGAUUCAUCAUCAUUGUGAUCUUUCUCCCUAUAAUCACCAAGUCAAUACUUUUUCACCACCAAUGUUUAUUGUGGUGACCACCGUUGAGAAUCUUCUCCGAGUAGGUGAAACUUUCGGCCGUGGAAUAUGUUUCCUCCAAAUCAUUCAAGACUCUGUCAACACUAAGUGGUUGAUUGUUUGUGGUUUUUGCUUUAGUUUUUGGUUUUUGCUUUUGUAGAAACCAUUUUUCAUCCAAUCAAGUUUUUGGUUUUAAUUUUUGUUUUUCUAAAAACCAUUUGAGUUGCCAAUCAAGAUUUUCAAUAAAUAGAUUCCCUAAAAUUUAGGGAAACUAGUUUUUGAAAAGUUUAACCAAUUUAUGAAGAAAAACCAAAAACCAACUUUUGUGAGCUUUUAUGAAGAAAAACGAAUUUUGAUUUUUUUUUGUAGAAACUACUACAUUAUAAUUAAUUAAUAAUUAAUAAAUAAUAUUUUCAUAAAAGUUAAAAUUAUCAUAAAAUAUUUUGUACAUUAGAUAUCAUUUAAACAAUAAUGUGAAAUAUUUUAAUUUGUGUUUCAUAUCUGUAAAUAAAUUUAUAUAUUUUAUAAAUAAUAUUAUUUAAUUUUAAAACUUAGUUAUUAGUUUCUAUAAAUAAAACAAUUGAAUAAUUUUAAUAAUUAUUAGUCACAUUAAAAAUAACAAAAAAUUAUAAAAACAUAAUAUGUUUUAUUAAUAAAAUAUAUUGUAUAAUCCUGAAUUAUAAAAAUUGCCAUUCAACUUUAAGAAAAUAUAAAUAAUUUAUAUAAGAAAAUUUAUAAUUAGUUUCAAAAUUUUAUGUAUUUUUAUUUUUGUAUCAUUUAUAAUAUUUAUAUAAGAAAAAAUUUUCUAUUCAAGUUUUAAAAAUUAAAAACCAAAAACCAAAAUCUAAAAACCAAAAUCUAAAAUCUAAAAACCAAAAACUAAAACUAAAAACUAAUGAAACAAUCAUCACCUAAGCCUGUCUAAGUUUUAAAUUUUGUUUUUAGUUUUUCAAAAUUUAAGAUUUUUAAUUUAUUCAUUUUAAGUUUUAAUCUAAUAGAUCUUAACAGGUUGGUUAAUUUGUUCCGAAUCAGGUUGGACUGAGCCAACUUUUGAAAUGGGGCAAAUCUCCAAAAUAGCACCUUUUUAAGUUUAUAUCACAAAAAUAGCACUCAAAAACUAGAAUGACCAAAGUAGCACAUUUCUAAGUUUAUCCUUUGAAAAUUUUAAUUUUUUUAUUUUUCAAAAAUUUGAAAUCUUAUCCCCAAAACCUCAUUUCUCAACUCUAAACCCUAAACCCUAAACUCUAAACCCUAAACCCUAAACCAUAAACCGUAAACCCUAAACUCUAAACCCUAAACCGUAAACUCUAAACCCUAAAUUCUAAACUCUAAACCCUAAACCCUAAACCCUAAACUCUAAACCAUAAACCGUAAACCCUAAAUCCUAAACCC
rnacentral:lncRNA from 1 species